CCCAGGCCGCCGCGGUGCGCACCGGCGGUGUUAACGCUUAUGCGGAGCAGAAAUAUAGCGGUUUGCGGUUCUUACACUGGUGCACCGGGCUCAAGUCAGGAAUGCGGUGAGCAGUACGCGCACGCCUGGUGAGGGCCGAGCUCCGGAUGGAGGGCAGGUGAGACGGAAGGUCCUCGAAUCAAAAGCCGGAGCACCUUCCCAAGAAUCACCCGGAGCCCUGCACCCAAGGUCCAGGCCCUCAGCCUCUUUCCAGCCCCCAAACUGCCCCUUUCCUGCCUGUUAUAGUCUGACAUCCUCAUAUCUCUACCCCUGUGAGACCCUUGAGACGGUGGGGAUGGGGGACGUUUGAGUGUCUGAACCUGUUAGCUGAAGCGUGGUCAUCGGGUUCAAUCGUCAGUCAUUUCCUAGGGCUUCCUGCAUGCCAGGUCCUAUCCUCUGGGCGUACCAGGCCUGCCUGGAGAGAUAAGGAUGGCAAAGCUUGAUGUGGAGGAGGCAGAUGACCGGGGCUACAGGGGUCCAGAGGUGACAGGUGCUGCUAACCAGGGUAUGGAGUGGGGGUAAGGGAGCGGCACUGGACUUAAUAAGGAAUCAGCAGUGUGCCAGACACCCAUCCCCUGCACUUCCCUAUCACCAUCUCCAGUUCCUGGUCAGUAAAAUGGGGAUGAUAAUAGUGGUACGUGCGUCACAGUGUGUGUGAAAAUAAAUGAGUUAGUAGGGAAGUGUUUACUGGGGAAAAAAAGACAACACUUUUUUUGGUUUUUUCUUUCACUUCUCAUAACGGCAUGGCUCCCAUUUCUGGAACAUGUCUAAAAUUUCUUUUAAAGGAAGUCUUGAGUUGGGCAUUUCAAAACCUCAGACAAUCUACAGAGAGUCUACGGCAGUUCUCAGUUGAGGAAACCACCUGAUGCAUCCGACUCCUGCAUGAAGUAUGCUCCUGAGAGGCCACACCCCACCUGAGACUCUUCACUCCUCCAACCUCACCAACUCCCUGCCUUAGAACAGGAAAUAUCACCAUCGAGACUUUGUUGGCACCUCCUGUUCACAGAACAGCUGGACACAGGCCCCCAAGACAUGACUCAGAAUGGUACAGCAGAGGGGGACGCUGCUGUUAUUUCUGGGGGUGCAGUUGCUGCUGGUGGGGGCAUUCCUCUACCAGAACCACCACGGCUGCAGCCUCACCUUCUUCCUGCAUUUUAACCAAUGACAUCUGCAAAACCCCUAUUUCCAAACAAGAUCACCUACUGAAGUUCCAGGUGAACAACACCGCCUUCAACCCGGGCAAGCUGUGCAAUGUGGGGUUCUGGGAGGCCAUGCAGGAGGACGACUGGGACUGUGUCUUUUUCCAUGAUGUGAACCUGCUCCCAGAGGAUGACCACAACCUCUACAUCUGCGACAUCUUCCCUGCCCCUGUUCCAUGGCCAUCGACAAGUUCAACUACAAGCUGCCCUACCAAGGCUACCGUGGAGGGGUGUUUGCCCUGUGCCCCAUUCACUACCUGAGGAUCAGUGGCUUCCCCAGCACCAGCUGGGGCUGGGGUCAGGAGGACAGUGACGUCACUGCCAGAUCUCCCUCUGUUGGGUCAGCUUGUUCCCACAGUUCUUCUAAAAUGCAACACCAUGAACCAUCUCUUAUGACUCCACCCAUCAUCUCAUUGUGAAAUGAAGCUUCUUCAGAAAUCUCCCGUUGUCGGGUUUCAAGCCCAAACUCCCCUUCUAGAAGGAGAACAAGAUGAAAUAGAUUCAGUGAACAAUUAGCAAAGGAUAGAAGAGAAGUCACAUGGAGCUGAUUGAGAUUGUGCAUGGGGAAACUGCUGAGUCAUAUACCAGUGGUAGUGCUGAUGGUGAUCAUGAGAGAAAACAGUCACACAGCCCUUACUAUAUGUCAAGCACGUAUCUGUAUAGCGCUUAGCAUUUGCUAGGCAGUGUUCUAUGUGAUGCACACGUAAGCUCAUUCAAUCCUCACAACCAUCCCAGGAGGUAACUACUUAUUAUCCUGGCUUUCUACAUGAAGCAAAGGAAAUAGAAUGGUUAAAUAAUUAGCCAAAAUCACUUUGCUCAGCCACGGGGAAAGUUAAGAUUUUAACAAAGGCAACCCGACUCCACUCACACAGGUGAUCUAGAUACCCAGACCUAGUAGAAUGACUACAGGAUAAAAGAGACAAGAGUGUCAUAGGGCAGCAUCUGUGCAUAGCCACAGCUUGAAGGAGGGGUUCAGAGUGCAGAGCUCUCUCUCGACUUACAAUGGGGUUAUGUCCUGAUAAGUCCAUCGUAAGUUUAAAAUAUCAUAAAUCAGAAGUGAACUGAAUACACCUAACCUACUGAACAAAGCUUAACCCAGCCUACUUUAAAUGUGCUUAGAAGACUUAUGUUACCCUAAGGUUCAGCAAAAGCAUCUUUUAUGUUACCCUAAGGUUCAGCAAAAGCAUCUAACAAAAGACCUGUUUUAUAAUAAAGUAUUGAAUAUUUCACACAAUUUAUCGAAUAUUGUACUGAAAGUGAAAAAUAGAGUGGUUAUCUGGGUACAGAAAGGUAGUAAGUGUAUUGGUUGUUUCCCUUUAUGAUCAUAUGGCUGACUGGGAGCCUGGCAUCAUGAGAGUAUAGUACCAUGUAUCGCUAGCCUGGGAAAAGAUCAAAAUUUACAAUUCAAAGUAUAGUUUGUACUAAAUGUGUAUGACUUUCAUAACACUGUAAAGUUGAAAAAUCGUAAAUUGAACCAUCACAAGUCAGGGACCAUCUGUAUAGGUUUAUGUUAAAGAUCUACAUUGUGAUUAAUCUCCCAGCUUCCUCCUACUCAUUGGAAACAAUACCAAAAUCAUUCAGCCCUAGAUAUCCUCUGAUAGACUAUUAAAGCAUUAAUCCUGACAUGGCCAAGCAGUGAAAGAAUACCUAUACUCAAACUCACAAUUCUAUGAAACUGAAGUUUGUUUCCCUGAACUUAGGAAUGUACAUAUCCCAAGAAGGGAAAACUAGAAGACUGGACAAGCAUGCGGUCCCCUAGAAUCUGUAACACCCUCUUACACAGAGGUUAACUGUGGCCAGGCACAUGGCAGCCAAGCCACGUAAUGACUCACAAUUUCCUUUGCAGUGAUGUGUGACGGUGAGACUGUUCUUGCUAACAGAAUGGGCAUACAGCAUUAUGCACUGCUUCUAGCCAGAGUAAUACAUCACAACUUCUCAGUAUCCUCCACCCCUUUUCUGCCUAGUAGAACCUGGCUUUGGUUGCAAUGCACUCAAUCCUGAAGAUUGACAGCAUCAUAAAAGAUGGUACUACAAUGACAAGAGAAAAACUUCAACACCUGAAUGAAUACAAAACGUAAGGCUUCCUGCUGACCUGACUUUUAUAAGUGUUUUAUAGGGAGAAAAUUAUUCUGGAAAUUAUUAUACUGGAUCUUGGUCUCUUUGUUAUAACUUUCAGCCUAAUGCUACUCAAUAUACCAUUUUUUUGUUAAGAACAGAAGUCACUGAUCAUCUAGUUUACUAGUAAGAACAUAAGACAAAACAGAGUCUUUAAAAAAAGGUGGCUGAAUUUUACUAUUACUUUAUCCUAUCAGAGAUUUAAACACUGAGUAUGGUUAAGACCAUCAUGUCUUGUUUUCCUUUCUCUUUCAAUCACUUGGAUAAACUAUCCUAGACCCUUGUCCUGUUCCCAAACCUCAGUCAUCUAUCACUUUUUAAAAAAUGAGAAUGAUCUUUAUUUUUACUAUUUUUAGUAAUAAUUUAGUAAUAAUUUUAUUUCUUAUCUUACUAUUUUUACUAUUUAUAUAUAGCAUUAAAAUCUGAGAAAAAGAAAUCAAUCUUUGGGGUAAUUUAUCAAUGUCAUCUUGACUGAACUCAUGAUGACUGGGAAUCCACAAAUCCCAUUAGGAACAAAAUAACCCAAGCAUGAGAAAAUAGCUGGUUUAUGGUGAUACCCCUGGAAUUAAGAAAAAGAGUCAACUUAACUGCUUUUAAAAAGAAAAUAUAGUAGAAUUUCUAAAAUAACAAGUUAGAAGACUAAGAUGGGAGAGCCAAGAAACAGAAGAAUCUUCUGGACAAAACGUAUAAGGCGAGAAGAAUUUCUGAUAUGCAUAGUUGUAGUUUCCUGGAGUUUGGAAACUU